AGUAAAUAACUCCUAAGGAUUCAUAAGAGGAACAACUUUAAAGGAAAGAGUUGAGUGAGAGCCUGCUGUCACAGGUACUAUCCUGCAGUUCUUACCUGGAAGCGGAGGAUGAUGGUCCAGAUCAGUCCCAGAGUGAGGCGGUGGUUCCCAUCAACAAUGUCGUGGGAGCCCAUGUUCUCCAGGUGGACCCGCUGCUCCUUCAGGAACUGCAGAGCCUUGUCCACAUUUUCCAGACAGUGGAUCCUCAUCCGACCCUUUGUGGGUUUGGGCUGAACAACAGAAGAGGACAACGCUGAUUAAAAACGCAGCAUGAAGAAAAGGCUGCAGAUGCUGAUAAACACUUUGAGAACCAA